GACGAACGCUGGCGGCGUGCCUAAUACAUGCAAGUAGAACGCUGAAGGAGGAGCUUGCUUCUCUGGAUGAGUUGCGAACGGGUGAGUAACGCGUAGGUAACCUGCCUGGUAGCGGGGGAUAACUAUUGGAAACGAUAGCUAAUACCGCAUAAGAGUAGAUGUUGCAUGACAUUUGCUUAAAAGGUGCAAUUGCAUCACUACCAGAUGGACCUGCGUUGUAUUAGCUAGUUGGUGGGGUAACGGCUUACCAAGGCGACGAUACAUAGCCGACCUGAGAGGGUGAUCGGCCACACUGGGACUGAGACACGGCCCAGACUCCUACGGGAGGCAGCAGUAGGGAAUCUUCGGCAAUGGACGGAAGUCUGACCGAGCAACGCCGCGUGAGUGAAGAAGGUUUUCGGAUCGUAAAGCUCUGUUGUAAGAGAAGAACGAGUAUGAGAGUGGAAAGUUCACACUGUGACGGUAUCUUACCAGAAAGGGACGGCUAACUACGUG
rnacentral:rRNA from 1 species